rnacentral:rRNA from 1 species
AUUGAACGCUGGCGGCAGGCUUAACACAUGCAAGUCGAGCGAGCGGCGGACGGGUGAGUAAUGUCUGGGAAACUGCCUGAUGGAGGGGGAUAACUACUGGAAACGGUAGCUAAUACCGCAUACCAUCAGAUGUGCCCAGAUGGGAUUAGCUAGUAGGUGGGGUAAUGGAUCACCUAGGCGACGCGCCCUAGCUGGUCUGAGAGGAUGACCAGCCACACUGUAACUGAGAAACGGCCCAGACUCCUCUGGGAGGCAGCGUUGGGGAAUAUUGCACAAUGGGCGCAAGCCUGAUGCAGCCAUGCCGCGUGUGUGAAGAAGGCCUUCGGGUUUUAAAGCACUGUCAGCGAGGAGGCGUUACUCGCAGAAGAAGCACCGGCUAACUCCGUGCCAGCAGCCGCGGUAAUAC